rnacentral:rRNA from 1 species
AGUGAACGCUGGCGGUAGGCCUAACACAUGCAAGUCGAACGGCAGCACAGUAAGAGCUUGCUCUUACGGGUGGCGAGUGGCGGACGGGUGAGGAAUACAUCGGAAUCUACUUUUUCGUGGGGGAUAACGUAGGGAAACUUACGCUAAUACCGCAUACGACCUACGGGUGAAAGCAGGGGAUCUUCGGACCUUGCGCGAUUGAAUGAGCCGAUGUCGGAUUAGCUAGUUGGCGGGGUAAAGGCCCACCAAGGCGACGAUCCGUAGCUGGUCUGAGAGGAUGGUCAGCCACACUGGAACUGAGACACGGUCCAUACUCCUACGGGACGCAGCAGUGGGGAAUAUUAGACAAUGGGCGCAAGCCUGAUCCAGCCAUACCGCGUGUGUGAAGAAGGCCUUCGGGUUGUAAAGCCCUUUUGUUGGGAAAGAAAAGCAGCAGGUUAAUACCCCGCUGUUCUGACGGUACCCAAAGAAUAAGCACCGGCUAACUUCGUG